AAAAAAGUGGUCCAGCAUCAGCAUCACCAGCACAUCCAGUAGGCAGAGAGAAGCUGCUUCCUAGAACUCACAAGAACCAAGUGGUUAGCAUCUGCCUCUAAUCCAAAAGGGAAAAUGAAAUCCCCUCUCCUAUCACUGGCAACAGGGAUUCCUGCAGACGGAUGAUAAUUCUACCCAGCUACCUCACUGACAGCCAAGGAAGCUUGAAAGACAGAAAGACCAAAGGGAAAUGGAUGUAUUUUUUU